GACGAACGCUGGCGGCGUGCUUAACACAUGCAAGUCGAACGGAAAGGCCCCUUUGGGGGUACUCGAGUGGCGAACGGGUGAGUAACACGUGAGUAACCUGCCCUUGACUUCGGGAUAACUUCAGGAAACUGGGGCUAAUACCGGAUAGGAAUCCUUGCUGCAUGGUGGGGGUUGGAAAGCUUCGGCGGUUUUGGAUGGACUCGCGGCUUAUCAGCUUGUUGGUGGGGUAGUGGCUUACCAAGGCUUUGACGGGUAGCCGGCCUGAGAGGGCGACCAGCCACAUUGGGACUGAGAUACGGCCCAGACUCCUACGGGAGGCAGCAGUGGGGAAUAUUGCACAAUGGGCGGAAGCCUGAUGCAGCAACGCCGCGUGCGGGAUGACGGCCUUCGGGUUGUAAACCGCUUUCAGCAGGGGCGAAGCUUUUGUGACGGUACCUGCAGAAGAAGCACCGGCUAACUACGUG
rnacentral:rRNA from 1 species